rnacentral:rRNA from 1 species
GUUAGGAAUAUUGGACAAUGGGCGCAAGCCUGAUCCAGCCAUGCCGCGUGAGUGAUGAAGGCCUUCGGGUUGUAAAGCUCUUUAGUCCACGAAUAUAAUGACUGUAGUGGAAGAAUAAGCCCCGGCUAACUUCGUGCCAGCAGCCGCGGUAAUACGAAGGGGGCGAGCGUUAUUCGGAAUCACUGGGCGUAAAGCGUGCGUAGGCUGUUUUGUAAGUCAGAAGUGAAAGCCCAGGGCUUAACCCUGGAAUUGCUUUUGAAACUACAAGACUCGAAUUCGGGAGAGGAUAGCGGAAUUGUCAGUGUAGCAGUGAAAUGCGUAGAUAUUGACAGGAACACCAGUGGCGCAAGCGGCUAUCUGGACCGAUAUUGACGCUGAGGCACGAAGGCCAGGGGAGCGAACGGGAUUAGAAACCCGUGUAGUCC